rnacentral:sRNA from 1 species
GCCACUUGUGAAGAAGGAAACCCACCUGAGUUUGUACAUGAAAUAAUUGAAUUUCCGGUUGUUUUACUGAAUACGCAUACUUUAGAAAUAGAAGACACAUUUCAGCAGUAUGUAAGACCAGAGAUUAACACACAGCUGUCUGAUUUCUGCAUCAGUCUUACUGGAAUUACUCAGGAUCAGGUAGACAGAGCUGAUACCUUCCCUCAGGUACUAAAAAAAGUAAUUGACUGGAUGAAAUUGAAGGAAUUAGGAACAAAGUAUAAAUACUCAAUUUUAACAGAUGGUUCUUGGGAUAUGAGUAAGUUCUUGAACAUUCAGUGCCAACUCAGCAGGCUCAAAUACCCUCCUUUUGCUAAAAAGUGGAUCAAUAUUCGGAAGUCAUACGGAAAUUUUUACAAGAGAAAGAGGAAAGGACUAGGAGUGGGGACUGGCAAACCACAGCUUGUGUGGGAAGGAAAUUUGACAUAUGAUGCAAGCGGACGUUUGUGUAAACUGCUGGGAGAUUAACAACAACUGUGAGUGGAAUUGCUGAGUCAUGUGGCAAACUACCAGUUCUGUUGAACCUCAGGGCCAUCAUUCUGUUCAUGUUAGCUCACUGUAGAACCACAUCGAUGAAGACUAAGAUGGUAAAGAAGAAAAAUUGUAGCUAACAUUUACUGCACAUUUACUACAAGCCAAGCAUUGCACUAUGAAGUUUAAGUGCAUUAUUCAUUAACCCCUUC